CUUCCAGUAGCACCGUAGACACCAACUAAGUUUGUUAUUGGUAUGAGCUUUCGUGUGCAUGCACACAAAAGCUCAUACCAAUAACGAACUUAGUUGGUCUCUAAGGUGCUACUGGAAG
rnacentral:miRNA from 1 species